CGCACAUUGCGCCUAAUAGUAUUCUGUUAGGCAUGCCUGUUCGAGCGUCAUUUCAACCCCCAAGCCCUAUUCGCUUGACGUUGGGAACUUACGGAGACGUAAUUCCUCAAAUACAGUGGCGGAGCUAGGUCGUGCUCUAAGCGUAGUAACUACAUUCUCGCUUCUGUGGCCGGCCUAAGUCUUGCCGUAAAACCCCCUAUAAUUUACUGGUUGACCUCGGAUCAGGUAGGAAUACCCGCUGAACUUAA
rnacentral:misc_RNA from 1 species